GUGCCAGCAGCCGCGGUAAUACGGAGGGGGCUAGCGUUGUUCGGAAUUACUGGGCGUAAAGCGCACGUAGGCGGAUCAGAAAGUUGGGGGUGAAAUCCCGGGGCUCAACCUCGGAACUGCCUUCAAAACUAUUGGUCUUGAGUUCGAGAGAGGUGAGUGGAAUUCCGAGUGUAGAGGUGAAAUUCGUAGAUAUUCGGAGGAACACCAGUGGCGAAGGCGGCUCACUGGCUCGAUACUGACGC
rnacentral:rRNA from 1 species